AUGGAGAAAGCACGUCGAGCCAUGUUCGUCUUGUUACUGCUGAUCGCCGAUUUUAGUGCGGCCCAAGACACCACCAGCAAAGCAGGCGAAUUCCACGUCGGGGUGAUCCUCGACCUGGGAUCGCUGGUGGGGAAAGUGGCGCGGACCAGCGUGCUGUUGGCCGCCCAGGAUUUCUACACGAUCCACCGGAACUACAGCACGAAGCUCGUUCUCCACGUUAUGGACUCCGCGGGCAGUGAUGUUCAGGCCGCAUCGGCAGGUACGUGUGUCUGCAGUAUGUCACUCUGUGAGGAUUCAGGGAAAACCGAGGACUUUGUUUGUUAG
rnacentral:rRNA from 1 species